rnacentral:rRNA from 1 species
GGAGGUAGUGACGUGAAAUAACGAUGCGGGACUCUUCCGAGGCCUCGCAAUCGGAAUGAGUUAACUUUAAAUCCUUUCGACGAGGAUCGAUUGGAGGGCAAGUCUGGUGCCAGCAGCCGCGGUAAUUCCAGCUCCAAUAGCGUAUAUUAAAGUUGCUGCGGUUAAAAAGCUCGUAGUUCGAUCUCACGAUUCGAAAGGAGGUAGGUGAGCGCCGUCUUGAUAGUAGUAGUACUACUACUACUACUAGGAAACCUCGAAUUGACCUUCUCAUUCGUCUCGUUGUUGUUACGGUAGUACAAGUAGUACGGGGAUGUCGAAAGCUCGAACAAGGUUAUGAAGACGGUACGAGUUGAUUUUCUGACUGACGGCGUUGGCGGAGGCGUUUGUCGUUGCUGCUGCUUCUACUGCGGUGGUACGCUAGUGGCAAACGACAGUCGCCGCCGCUGACGCUUCUACUACUACUUCGUUCAUCGUCGAUCCUUGUUGUGUUGCUUUGGCUCUUCCAGUUAUUUCUUUCCAACUAACAACAACGGACAUAGAAAAAAGAGAGGGAGCGGACGAGGUGUCCCGGCGUAAUAACCAAUCACUCGUCCUUUUCGAUGAAAAACAUUGUCCGGCCGGCCAGCGGCGUAGUAGCCUCCCCGAAAUGGGUGGUAGUUUCGUUGUAUUAUUAUAAUAAUGAUACCUCUUCCACCUUGGACGGUGCUGCUGG